GAUGAACGCUGGCGGCGUGCCUAAUACAUGCAAGUCGAGCGAACAGACGAGGAGCUUGCUCCUCUGACGUUAGCGGCGGACGGGUGAGUAACACGUGGAUAACCUACCUAUAAGACUGGGAUAACUUCGGGAAACCGGAGCUAAUACCGGAUAAUAUAUUGAACCGCAUGGUUCAAUAGUGAAAGACGGUUUUGCUGUCACUUAUAGAUGGAUCCGCGCCGCAUUAGCUAGUUGGUAAGGUAACGGCUUACCAAGGCAACGAUGCGUAGCCGACCUGAGAGGUGAGUCGCCCACACGGAAACUGAAAACGGGCCCAACCCCCAAGGGAAGGAGGCGGAGGGGAAGUUUCGGCAAUGGGCGAAAGCUUAACGGAGCAAGGCGGGGGGGUGGAUGAGGGUCUCCGGAUCGUAAACCUUUGUUAUUAGGAAAAAAAAAAUGUGAAGGAAACUAUGAACGUUUUGAGGGUACCAAACCAGAAGGCCACGGCUAACUCCGU
rnacentral:rRNA from 1 species